rnacentral:lncRNA from 11 species
UCUGGUCUGGCCAUGAGGCUUCUCCUUCCCCCUGCAUGGCUCCCCGCGUCUGUGGUUCUCUCCUUUUAGUGAGGGAAAGAGGGUGCCGCCAUUGUUGCUCUCAUGGUCAGGAGAAGCAGGAGGAGCAGGGAGAGUGCAGUUGACAUGCUGGUCAUGGAAGAGGCCAGAGUUUCUGCCUUAGGGGAUCGGGCCCUUAAGGAGAGACCCGAUCCGGUCCUGAGAGAACGGACCUUGGCGAAGCCAAAAGGAGAAUUACGAGCCGCAAUACAACCUGAAGCCGAAAUGAAGAAGGUCUGCCAAAGUUGAAGGAAAAUCCGCCAAGGAGUCUUUAUUGAGCAAUUCAGCUGAAGAGGACUCUAGUAGCGAUCAUUCGGUCUACUAGGGUACCAUACAAUCAAAAUAAAGCCAUA